rnacentral:rRNA from 1 species
UACGUAGGGCGCAAGCGUUGUCCGGAAUUAUUGGGCGUAAAGAGCUCGUAGGCGGCCUGUUGCGUCCGCUGUGAAAUCCCGGGGCUCAACCCCGGGCGUGCAGUGGAUACGGGCUGGCUGGAGGCAGGCAGGGGGAGAACGGAAUUCCUGGUGUAGCGGUGAAAUGCGCAGAUAUCAGGAGGAACACCAACGGCGAAAGCACUCUGCUGGGCCGACACUGACACUGAGAGACGAAAGCUAGGGGAGCGAAUGGG